rnacentral:rRNA from 1 species
CCUACGGGUGGCAGCAGUGGGGAAUAUUGCACAAUGGGGGAAACCCUGAUGCAGCGACGCCGCGUGAGUGAAGAAGUAAUUCGUUAUGUAAAGCUCUAUCAGCAGGGAAGAAAAUGACGGUACCUGAGUAAGAAGCCCCUGCUAACUACGUGCCAGCAGCCGCGGUAAUACGUAGGGGGCAAGCGUUAUCCGGAUUUACUGGGGGUAAAGGGAGCGUAGACGGCAGUGCAAGUCUGGAGUGAAAGGCGGGGGCUCAACCCCCGGACUGCUCUGGAAACUGUACGGCUGGAGUGCAGGAGAGAUAAGUGGAAUUCCUAGUGUAGCGGUGAAAUGCGUAGAUAUUAGGAGGAACAC